CUUAUUACUUUGACCAUAUUUUUAUCUUCCAUCUCUACUUUGCCAAUUUGUUUAUGCAACAUAGAAUAAUAUAUAUCUCUGUUUAAUCCAUGUCAAUAUCUAUUUUAUUUUUUAUAUUUUUUUAAAUCAAACAUUCAAAAAAAUGAACAUUUAAAAAACAUAAAAAAUAAAUUCAAGAUUUGAAGUAUAAAAUAAAAAACCCCGGCAAUAACCUACUCUCCCGCGAACUCGCAGUACCAUCAGCGAAUAAGAGCUACCAUCAGCGAAUAAGAGCUACCCUCGGCGAAUGCCAGCUAGCUUUGGGGGAAGAAGGGUCGAAUCUUGAAUUUAUUUUUUAUGUUUUUUAAAUGUGCAUUAUUUUGAAUGUUUGAUUUAAAAAAAUAUAAAAAGUAAAAUAGAUGUUGACAUGGAUUAAACAAAUUUUUUUUUCAUUCUAUGUUGCAUAAACGGAUUGGGGGGGGGGAAAAGGAAAAGCACAAGGGGGGCAGAGGAGUGAGAGUCUAUGGUAAAUGCCCAGGAACUUUAAAGCAAA
rnacentral:misc_RNA from 1 species